rnacentral:lncRNA from 10 species
UGUUAGCCAGGAUCGUCUGGAUCUCCUGACCUCGUGAUCCACCCGCCUUGGCCUCCCAAAGUGCUAGGAUUACAGGCGUGGGACACCGUGCCCAGCCCAGGUCAGCCUGUUUCUAGGACCCAUCACUCUGAACCUCUGGUCCUUGUGCCCUUCGAGGGUGCAGACGGUGGUCUCUGCAUCUCCUUUGCUCCACGUGCCAGGCACAGGUGCCUGGGAACUACAGAAGAGGUUGAAUAGAAGGCUUAACAAUGAGUUUGGAAGUCAGGCACAGAGGGUUUGACUUCCGGGGGCACCCCUUGCCAGCUGUAUGACCCUGGCAAGUCACUCUUCCUUUCUGCGCCUUGGUCCCUGCAUCUAUAAAUUGCUGUAAGGAUGAAAUUACAUAAUUAUAGGUAAAGCACCUGGCACAGUGAACAGUCCACAAAUCUUAGCUAUAAUAACAAUGACGUCAGUUAAGUAACUCACUUAGAAACAACACUGGCCACUGAAGUGGAGGGCCAGUGAAGUGGAGUCAAGUGCUGGGAGGAAGUCCAGGCCAGCAGGCCAACUUUGGUAUACAAAGAUGUGAAAACACGCUUGGCGUGGUGGCUCACGCCUGUAAUCCCAGCACUUCGGAAGGCCGAAGCAGGCAGAUCACCUGAGGUCAGGAGUUCCAGACCAGCCUGGCCAAGAUGGCGAAACUCUGUCUCUACUAAAAAUAUAAAAAUUAGCCAGGCGUGUUGGCGUGUGCCUGUAGUCCCGGCUACUCCUCGGGAGGCUGAGGCAGGAGAAUCACUUGAACCUGGGAGGCAGAAGUUGCAGUGGGCCGAGAUUGCACCAUUGCACUCCAGCCUGGGUGACAGAGCAAGACCCUGUCUCAAAACAAAAAAACAAAGAUGUGAAAACAGCCAACCACCAGGUGGCAAUCCAUGCAAGAGCCCAGCUGCCGGGUGUGCCCCAGCUUCAAGCCAGACAGACCUCAGACAUCCAGGGCCUGGGGAAGGUCCAGCCCCAAAUGGCAGCCAUCUGAUAGCAGCAAAAGAAAACCUGUGGGCCAGGCGCGGUGGCUCACGCCUGUAAUCUCAGCACUUUGGGAGGCCGCGGCGGGCGGAUCACGAGGUCAGGAGUUCAAGACCAGCUUGGCCAAUAUGGUGAAACCCCAUCUCUACUAAAAAUACAAAAAUUAACUGGGUGUGGUGGCGCAUGCCUGUAGUCCCAGCUACUCAAGAGGCUGAGGCAGAAGAAUCACUUGAAUCUGGGAGGCGGAGGUUACAGUGAGCCGAGAUAGUGCCGCUGCACUCCAGCCUGGGCAACAGAACGAGACUGUCUCAAAAAAAAAAAAAAAGAAAACCUGUGAACCUGGGGGCUGGGGAACAGAGCUCUUGCCCAUGCGAAACAUGGGGUGCUGGGAGAGCUCAUGAAAAUGUACAUCAUUCAUGUGCCAUGCGCUUGCUGAGUACUUCCCAUGCAUAAUUCAAUUUCAGCCUCAUGGCAGCCUUUCUCAGUUGAUGUUGUUAUCCCAGUUCAGAGAGGAGUAAACUGAGGCCCAGAGAAGUUAAAAAACUUGCCCAAGGACAUACAGCUAGUGAGUGGUGGAGCUGGGAUUUGAACCCAGGCAGUCUGUUUCCAGAGAACUGCUUCAGGCCCUCCUGCCCCUAUCAAGAGGCCAGGGCAGGGCAGAGCCUACAGGUGGGACUCCAGGGGUCCAGAGCUGGAUGAUCUACACACAGGGGAUCACAUGAUGCAAGCAGUUUCCGUACAAUGCGUUCUAUUUAGGGUGGGUUGUCCUUCUCCAGAAGGAAGAAUUUCUCCCUGGAGACUGGCCAGAUGCAGCCUGGUGGGUGGCAGUGCAUACAUUCCCAUCUCCUCAGACCUACCUACCAAGAACAGCCGCGCUGAUGAGAGUCCUGUGUCACUGGCGAAAUUGCUUCCAAAUUGCCUUCUUCAUUAACUGUGCAAAUUUGCAUCUUAAUUAGGCUUAAUGGAAUACAAUUACCAGACCCCACGUUUCUCUCUCUGAUUUCAAGCAAGGAUGCCACAGAGACAGGCCAGAAGCCAAAAACGUGGGGCUGGAGGGAGCCUGGUUGGGCUCUCCCUGCAGGAAACCUCGCAUCUGGGAAAGGAGGGGCCAGGCGCUACCCAGCGGGGACUGCACCUGGUACAUCCAGGCUCCUGAACUGAGGAGACCAUGGGAUUUGGAAUCAAGCUUUGGGAAGCCUGCCUCUGCCUCUGACCAGUGGAGGACUGACCCUUUCUGAGCCUCUGUUUUCUCAUUUGUAAAUUGGAGAUGGUGAUAACAUUUACUAUGGGGUAGCUGCAGGGAUCAAAGGUGAUCGCGUGUGUGUUAGCACCUGGUAAAGCACCUAACACGUAGUUUGUUCUCUUUCUCCAUGCCCUCCCUUUUUGAGGCCUACAAGGUUGUGCAGAGCUGAUCCCGGCCUUCCCCUUCGGUGAUUCAGUGAGCGUCAGCUUAUUUCAUCCUCCCUUCCAUGCUCUGGCCAUACACACUUCUGAGUCCUGGGAAGGCUCUAAGCUCCUUCCUGUCUUGUGAGCUUUUCAAGUGCUAUUCCCUCUGCUUGGAACACCUGACCCCUGGUUAGUACCUACUCAUCCUUCCAAUCUCAGCUCAAACAGCACUGUCUCCAGGAAGCCUUCCCUAGCCCCAGAAUAAACUCUCCUAACAUCAUUUAUCUAUGGGAUUAUUUAAUAUGUGUCCCUCUCUCUCCCACAGACAGUAAGCUCCAUGAGUGCAGAGAACACUUCUAUUGUGUUCUCUGUUGCAUCUCCAGCUCCUGGUUCAGGGCUUAUCACAUAGUAGGUCCCAUUCAUGUCUGUUUAAUGGAUGGAUAUGAACAUCCCACUGAGCCUCAGCGAAUGUCAAGUGGGAGCCAUAAUCUCAUCCUUAUGGUGCUGUGAAAUCAUUAAAUGAUUUUUGGCACACAGUAGGUGUUUGACGAAUGAGAUACCUAUUCUCCCAUUCCUUUCAAUUAAGGAAAAGUUAGAAGCAGGCAUAUAGGUAGCUUAAAGGACAGCAUGUUCAUGGAUAGGAACCCCCAAUAUUGUCUAGAUGUCAGUUUUUACCAACUUGAUUUAUAGAUUUAAUGCAACCCCAAUCAAAAUUCCAGCAAGUUAUUUUGUGGAUAUAAGCAAACUGAUUAUGAAGUUUAUAUGGAGAGCAAAAGACCCAGAAUAACCAACACAAUAUUGAGGGAGAAGAGCAAAGUUGGCAGACUGACACUACCCAACUUUAAGACUUACUAUAAAGCUACAGUAAUUAAUAUGGUAUUGGUGAAACAAUAAACAGAGUAAUGGAACAGAAUCCAGAAUCCAGAGAUAAAUCGACAUAAAUACAGUCAAGUUGUUUUUGACAAAAGGGCAAAGUCAAUACAAUGGAGAAAAAUUCUUUUCAGCAAAUGGUGCUGGAACAACUGGACAUCCACAUGCAAAAAAGUACAUCUAGAUACAGACCUUACACCCUUCAGACAAAGUAACUCAAAAUGGACCAUAAGCCUAAGCAUAAAACCAAAAUUAUAAAACUCCUAGAAGAUAACACA